AAUAGUUAUGUUCGUGUCUAAUUGUUUUUGUUUCAUAUUGAACAAGUUGGAACAGGUAGUUUCUGAUGAAAUCGCUGCAUGGCGAUGUAAAAUAGGAUUAUGGAUUUUUACCGAACUUUCUCGGUAUUUUCAUCUACCAAAACCUAAAAAACAAGAAAAUUAUAAUGGAGAAAUAUAUGGGUUAUACGUUAUGUAUUACGUUAUGCGUUACGUUACCAAGCGAUUUAUCCUCACUUCAAGAAUCACACUAGGACUGGAAAACAGUGAAUUCAACACCGUCAAAUCGUAAGGUGGUUGACAAUGUUUCAUGGGGCAUUUCAUCAUCAAUGAAAUUGAAAAGAAUAGCUGAUAUUAACAAUAUUAAAAAAUUUCAAGCCAAGUACAAGGAAGAAGCAGAUAAACACCUGUGAAGAUCAACAAGGCACUGUCUAUCUGCCAUACAUAGAAAACAUAUCGGAGUAUCUGAGAUCAGAAAAAGACAGCAGAGAUCCACUCAAAUCAGCGGGAGUUUACAGGAUUUGAUGCAGAAUUCUGCAGUAGAAUAUGCACUGUCUGACGAGGAACACAAGAUCUUGUUCGAAAAUACCGAGAGGCUAGCAACGUCGAAUAAUU